rnacentral:misc_RNA from 1 species
AACGCAUAUUGCGCUCUCUGGUAUUCCGGAGAGCAUGCUUGUUUGAGUAUCAGUAAACACCCUCAGAGCUUUUUUUUUUCCUUGAUUUUCGAAUCUUGGGGCUCUGGAUUUGAGUGAUCCCAACGUGGUCUUUUUCGAAAGGACAUGGCGGGCCACUUGAAAUACAGGUGCAGCUGAACUUUCUUCUGAGCUAAAAGCAUAUUUAUUUAGUCCUGUCAGCACAUGUGCUGCCGGAUUAUUACUUCUGCUGCAGCUUACAUAAAGGUUGACUGUUCAAAUGCUGACUGAUACAGAAUUUUUAGCACAGAAAGCGCAAGCGGAUCUGUGCUGUUAAACUCGAUCUCAAAUCAAGUAAGACUACCCGCUGAACUUAA